UUUACCCUGCGGUGCUCGCGAAGGCAUACAAUUCCUUUGAACCAAUAAGUUCGCUUUUGGCUGCCGAUUGUAGGUGGGUGUGCGCGUUCCUUGAGAAUGUACCCGAAACCGACUCAGAAGCGGCCGACCUUGAUUCAAGGUUCAAGCGAAUUUUGCCCAAACGGCAUUUGCGGGGUUCCU
rnacentral:other from 1 species